rnacentral:rRNA from 1 species
AGAGUUUGAUCCUGGCUCAGGAUGAACGCUAGCGACAGGCUUAACACAUGCAAGUCGAGGGGCAGCAUGGGAGGUGGCAACACCACCCGAUGGCGACCGGCGCACUGGUGAGUAACACGUAUGCGACCUGCCCCCUACAGGGGAAUAACCCAGAGAAAUUUGGCCUAAUACCCCGUAGUCCGCCGCGCCGCAGGACGUGGCGGGGAAAGAGUUAUCGGUAGGGGAUGGGCAUGCGGCGCAUUAGCUAGUUGGCGGGGCAACGGCCCACCGAGGCUACGAUGCGUAGGGGUUCUGAGAGGAAGGUCCCCCACACUGGUACUGAGACACGGACCAUACUCCUACGGGAGGCAGCAGUGAGGAAUAUUGGUCAAUGGGCGCGAGCCUGAACCAGCCAAGUCGCGUGCAGGAAGACGGCCCUACGGGUUGUAAACCGCUUUAGCCGGGGAGUAACAAGCGCCACGUGUGGCGCCAUGAGAGUACCCGGAGAAUAAGCAUCGGCUAACUCCGUGCCAGCAGCCGCGGUAAUACGGAGGAUGCGAGCGUUAUCCGGAUUCAUUGGGUUUAAAGGGUGCGCAGGCGGCGCGCCAAGUCAUCGGUCAAAUCUCCGGGCUCAACCCGGUGUCGCCGUUGAAACUGGCGUGCUUGAGUAGGUGCGACGGAGGCGGAAUGCKUGGUGUAGCGGUGAAAUGCAUAGAUAUCACGCAGAACYCCGAUUGYGAAGGCAGCUUCCGAGCACUCGAUUGACGYUGAGGCACGAMAGCGUGGGUAUCGWACAGGAUUAGAUACCCUGGUAGUCCACGCGGUAAACGAUGAAUACUGGUUAUUCUGUCGAUAUAGAUUGAGUGACCUAAGAGAAAGCAUUAAGUAUUCCACAUGGGGAGUACGCCGGCAACGGUGGAACUCAAAGGAAUUGACGGGGGCCCGCACAUGCGGAGGAACAUGUGGUUUAAUUCGAUGAUACGCGAGGAACCUUACCCGGGCUCAAACGCAGAGAGACGGCACGUGAAAGCGUGUUUUCUUUUGGGACGGUGUGUGAGGUGUUGCAUGGUUGUUGUCAGCUCGUGCCGUGAGGUGUCGGCAAAGUGCCAUAACGAGCGCAACCCCCAUCUUCAGUUGCCACCGUUUGAAGGCGGGCACUCUGGAGAGACUGCCGGCGCAAGCUGUGAGGAAGGCGGGGAUGACGUCAAAUCAGCACGGCCCUUACGUCCGGGGCGACACACGUGUUACAAUGGCGGGGCACAGAAGGAAUCCAGGCGGCGACGCCGAGCCGAUCCCAAAAACCCGUCUCAGUUCGGAUCGGAGUCUGCAACCCGACUCCGUGAAGCUGGAUUCGCUAGUAAUCGCGCAUCAGCCAUGGCGCGGUGAAUACGUUCCCGGGCCUUGUACACACCGCCCGUCAAGCCACGGAAGCCUGGAGUGCCUGAAGUGCGUGACCGCAAGGAGCGCCCAAGGGUAAGACAGGUGACUGGGGCUAAGUCGUAACAAGGUAACCGUA